AGAGGGGGCUAGCGUUAUUCGGAAUUAUUGGGCGUAAAGGGCGCGUAGGCGGCCAUGCGUGUCUUCCGUGAAAUCCCUCGGCUUAACUGAGGACGUGCGGAAGAAACUGCAAGGCUCGAGUCCGGGAGAGGGGGGUGGAAUUCCCAGUGUAGCGGUGAAAUGCGUAGAUAUUGGGAGGAACACCGGUGGCGAAGGCGGCCCCCUGGACCGGAACUGACGCUGAGGCGCGAAAGCGUGGGUAGCAAACGGGAUUAGAUACCCCGGUAGUCCACGCCGUAAACGAUGGGCACUUGGUGUCGCGGGUAUCGACCCCUGCGGUGCCGAAGCUAACGCAUUAAGUGCCCCGCCUGGGGAGUACGGUCGCAAGGCUG
rnacentral:rRNA from 1 species